GCUGGGCUGAAUUAGAGACGCCACAAAGAUGUGACUCCACAAAACUCCAACCAAAGGCUGACUGUGUUAUUCAAAAGUCCUGCUCGAGAGAAGUCUCCCGGGAAACCCUUUGGUGAAGAUGUAAGAAUGUUCUGGAUCUCAUAUAACAGGCAUCUGUAUGAGACCAAGUAUAGUGUCUAGAACAAUUUAGUCUCAGAUAAGCUAAGUAAUUUUUAAAGGUGGGGGACAUCAAAGAGGUAAAAGUCAGUUGGUCAGACUUGCAGUAGGACAGGCUGGAGGCACAGCUUAGUGUGGAGUGCUUGUCUUUCCAUGAGGCCUAGGUUCAAUCUCAAGGGGAUCAGAAUCAACGUCUGCUCAACCGCUGUCAUCAUAUCAACAAAACCUGUUGCAGAGACUUUACCACAGGAAGCCAUGGCCCAGUCCCUUCCUUCUCCUUUUUCUUCUCUCAUGAACUGGGGGUUGCUAGGCAACUACUCUAUCUCUGAGCUACACACCCAGCUCCCUUUUCUUUUUAAUUUUGAGACAGGGUUUUACUAAAUUUCCCUGACUGGUUUGAACUCACCAUAGCCCAGGCUAGCUUCGAAUCAGCAAUCCUUCUGCCUCAGCCUCCCAAACUGCUGGGAUUAUAGGUAUGUGUUACCACACCCCACUGACCCUGCCUUUUUUAUUUAGAGGGUAGGUGAGACUGUUUUAGUCAGAGAAAUGGCAAUCCACAGCACACGAUUGCAGCCUGCUCUUUCCCU